rnacentral:rRNA from 1 species
UACGUAGGGGCCGAGCGUUGUCCGGAGUUAUUGGGCGUAAAGCGCGCGCAGGCGGCCUCGCGCGCCCGACGUGAAAGCCCCCGGCUUAACCGGGGAGGGUCGUUGGGGACGGCGGGGCUUGAGGGCGGGAGAGGUCGGUGGAAUUCCCGGUGUAGUGGUGAAAUGCGUAGAGAUGUGGAGGAACACCAGUGGCGAAGGCGACUUUCUGGUCUGUAACUGACGCUGAGGCGCGAAAGCGUGGGGAGCAAACAGG